CUCUGACCUUCCUGAUUCCUGAAAAAAGUAAAAAAAACAACCUCCAAAGCCUUGUCAUAGUGACAGUUAAAAAGAGAGCAAAGAUCAUAAGGUCUUUAAGUGAAUUAUAAAGUGAACAGUAAAAAUAAUAACUGUAUAUAUAAAUGUAUAAAACAUUUAAGAAUAAGAGUGUGAAGGUGUGGUUAUCUCCAAUCAUACCCUUCACUCCCCCCUUCUAGACCAAAUGGAAUCAUCCAAGAUUCCAUGAUGGUCUACAUAACGCCUAAGAAGCCCCGGGAGUAAUGACAAGUGUCCGCAUACAGAGCAUGAGAACAAGUGUUUCUUCAUCUCAGCUGUGGACAUGCUGGGGCCUAUUGCACACCAGUCCCCACGCCGGACUCUCCCUGCCUCGUCAUGCCCACCAUGGAUCUGAGAAGAUUCAUAAACAAAUUUUACUACAUUAACUUUCUCUUUUUUUUUUUUUUCCAGAAUUACAACAUGAAGUUUAAAAGUGUUAAAAU